rnacentral:rRNA from 1 species
GGUGGCGAGUGGCGAACGGGUGAGUAACAUAUCGGAACGUACCGAGCAGUGGGGGAUAACUAAUCGAAAGAUUAGCUAAUACCGCAUAUCUUCUGAGGAAGAGAGCAGGGGACCAUUUGGCCUUGCGCUGUUUGAGCGGCCGAUAUCUGAUUAGCUAGUUGGUGGGGUAAAGGCCUACCAAGGCGACGAUCAGUAGCGGGUCUGAGAGGAUGAUCCGCCACACUGGGACUGAGACACGGCCCAGACUCCUACGGGAGGCAGCAGUGGGGAAUUUUGGACAAUGGGCGCAAGCCUGAUCCAGCCAUGCCGCGUGUCUGAAGAAGGCCUUCGGGUUGUAAAGGACUUUUGUCAGGGAAGAAAAGGGCGGGGUUAAUACCCCUGUCUGAUGACGGUACCUGAAGAAUAAGCACCGGCUAACUACGUGCCAGCAGCCGCGGUAAUACGUAGGGUGCGAGCGUUAAUCGGAAUUACUGGGCGUAAAGCGGGCGCAGACGGUUACUUAAGCAGGAUGUGAAAUCCCCGGGCUCAACCUGGGAACUGCGUUCUGAACUGGGUGACUAGAGUGUGUCAGAAGGAGGUAGAAUUCCACGUGUAGCAGUGAAAUGCGUAAAGAUGUGGAGGAAUACCGAUGGCGAAAGCAGCCUCCUGGGGAUAACACUGACGUUCAUGCCCCAAAGCGUGGGUAGCAAACANGAUUAAAUACCCUGGUAGUCCACGCUGUAAACGAUGGAUACUAGCUGUUUGGAGCAAUCUUGAUGGCUAAACCAAAGUGAUAAG